CACGUGAGAAUGGGCUCAUCUAAACCUUUAUAAAGACACCAGUAUUUCACAGCAAAUGGGCACAGAGAGUCACAUCACCUGUAUCCCUCAGCUGCUGACUUUGCUCUCUCUACCAGUCUUCUGACUCCACCUAUCACUCUGUGGGCAGGAUGAAGUUUGCCAUGAUCUUUCUUGUGUUGACGCUGGUCGUCCUCAUGACUGAAACUGGGGAGUGUGCUUGUUUCCUACGUCUGGGACGAGCAUUGGCAGAUAUGAGAGCCAAGCGUGAUGCUGACACAUCUGGAGGGGAUGGGAAGCAAUCAAGCUUUGACUGGAAAGCAUAUAGGAAGAGUAUUGGGUGCCCAGUUGAUUAGAGGUCACAAGAGACAGUCUCUCAGCUGUAUGAUUUGGGGAAGAAAUGCAUUGCCCCUUAGGUUCUGUAGCUUUGUGCUUUGUAAUGCAGGAAAUAACUGGAUAAAAAAACAAACCAGUGAUCUCAGGUCUAACUGGUUUUGGAGAACUGUCUGUUGCUUGAUAUUGCUAAAUGCCCUGAUGAAUAAAACUGCAUAACAAAAAGUCUAAUUUGCUGUGUCAUUAUUAGUUUAAAAAAAAAAGUUUUCCAAUUAUUUCUUUUGCGUAAGAAGAAUACUGUCAUUGUUAUGAGUCUGCGGAAAAUCACUUCAGAUUAGGUAAAUUAUAAUUAGAAUGAAUUUGCCAUGUAUUUUAGGCACUUCCAGUUCCACAGAUAUUCUUUCAGUGCCGUCAAUCCCAAAUAAAGUAAAUAAAGUAUUAAUUCAGAUGGAUGCCUCCUACUUUUUAGUCAUAUGCCACGCCCAUCAGUGAGGUCUUGGGUCUACAUCAGGUUUUUCCCUACCAUUCUAAGAUUUAGAUAUAGUGCUUGAAAUUAAAGAAUGAAAAAACCCACUCUGAACGGACACCGUAUUGGCCCUAAUAUUAGGCAAUAUUUCAUUUCUGAGCCUCAGGUUUAGAAAAGUGGGUGUUGUCUUUAUUUCAAAGACUCCAUAAUUGUGUUCAGUCAUUACAACAGAUAUUCUUUUUGAAUAGACAGAGUAUCAGUGUAGCUAUAGUGUUGCAUUAUGGUUUAUUUGUAGCCUUAUUAUGUUGCUAAGCUAGCAAGUGUUUUCAAGUCUAUCUAUAGUGAGUGUUUCAGAGUUGAUCAGCCUUAAGUGUUUGGUUAGUCCAGUUUAACCUGGACGAGUUUCUGAAGACUGCUGUAACAUGUUCUGCUGCCACAGAGGAAAUAAAAUAAUAACUGAAAACAACUUAA